rnacentral:rRNA from 1 species
GACGAACGCUGGCGGCGUGCCUAAUACAUGCAAGUUGAGCGCUGAAGGUUGGUACUUGUACCAACUGGAUGAGCAGCGAACGGGUGAGUAACGCGUGGGGAAUCUGCCUUUGAGCGGGGGACAACAUUUGGAAACGAAUGCUAAUACCGCAUAAAAACUUUAAACACAAGUUUUAAGUUUGAAAGAUGCAAUUGCAUCACUCAAAGAUGAUCCCGCGUUGUAUUAGCUAGUUGGUGAGGUAAAGGCCCACCAAGGCGAUGAUACAUAGCCGACCUGAAAGGGUGAUCGGCCACAUUGGGACUGGGACACGGCCCAAACUCCUACGGGAGGCAGCAGUAGGGAAUCGUCGGCAAUGGACGAAAGUCUGACCGAGCAACGCCGCGGGAGUGAAGAAGGUUUUCGGGUCGUAAAACUCUGUUGGUAGGGAAGAACGUUGGUGAGAGUGGAAAGCUCAUCAAGUGACGGUAACUACCCAGAAAGGGACGGCUAACUACGUG